GGAUCUGAUUGGCUGCUGCAGGUCGUGUGGUUAUCCAGAGGCGAGCAGAGGGAAGCAGUUUCCCCCUGAUGAGGUUUGUCAGCAGCACAUCCACUGAGCUGGACUCAGUGACAUCAGUCAGGAUCUCAGUGUUGUGGAAGUCCAGAGGAAGUCGACACUCAUCCAGACCGUCAAAGAUGAACACAACCUGGAACUCUUCAAA